rnacentral:rRNA from 1 species
GGCAGGCUUAGCUUAAUCUGCUAGUCGAGCGGGGAAUGUUGCUUCUGUUCUAUCCUAGCGGCGGACGGGUGAGUAAUGCUUAAGAAUCUGCCUAUUACUGGGGGACAACAUUCCGAAAGGAAUGCUGAUACCGCAUACGCCCUACGGGGGAGAUCCGGGGAUCUUCGGACCUUGCGCUAAUAGAUGAUCCUAAUUCGGAUUACCUACUUGGUGGGGUAAAGGCCUACCAAGGCGACGAUCUGUAGCGGGUCUGACAGGAUGAUCCGCCACACUGGGACUGACACACGGCCCAUACUCCUACGGGAGGACUCCUUGGGGAAUAUUGGACAAUGGGCGGAAGCCUGAUCCAGCCAUGCCGCGUGUGUGAAGAAGGCCUUUUGGUUGUAAAGCACUUUUCGCGAGGAUGAGGCUCCUUUAAUUAAUACCUAAAGUGAGUGGACGUUACUCCCUGAAUAAGCCCCGGCUAACUCUGUGCCAUCAACCGCGGUAAUACCCAGGGUGCGAGCGUUCGUCGAAUUUACUGGACGUAAGUCCGUGCGUAAGCGGCUUUUUAAGUCGGAUGUGAAAUCCCUGAGCUUAACUUAAUAAUUGCCUUCCAUACUGAAAAGCUAUAUUAUGGGAGAUGAUGGUAGAACUGGAGGUGUAGUGCUGAAAUGCGUAAAGAUCUGGACGAAUACCUAUGGCGAACGGCAGCCAUCUGGACUAUUACUGACGCUGACGUACAAAAGCAUGGCGAGCAAACAGGAUUAGCAUACCCUGCUAUGCCGUGCCAUAUACCAUGUCUACUAUGCGUUCUGUUCGGUUUUGGCUGCGCAUGCCGCGCCUUAACUAGACCAGCUAGACCGACCUGUGGCAAUACUAAAACGCAAACGAAUUGACGGGCGUCAAAACAAACGGUUGAGCAUGUGGUUUAAUUCGAUGCAACGCGAAGAACCUUACCUGGCCUUGACAUACUAAGAACUUUCCAGAGAUGGAUUGGUGCCUUCGGGAACUUAGAUACAGGUGCUGCAUGGCUGUCGUCAGCUCGUGUCGUGAGAUGUUGGGUUAAGUC